rnacentral:rRNA from 1 species
UACACACCGCCCGUCACACCAUGGGAGCGGGUUCUGCCAGAAGUAGUUAGCCUAACCGCAAGGAGGGCGAUUACCACGGCAGGGUGCGUGACUGGGGUG